rnacentral:rRNA from 1 species
ACGCUCGACACCUACGGGGGCAGCAGUGGGGGAUAUUGCACAAUGGGGGAAACCCUGAUGCAGCAACGCCGCGUGAGGGAAGAAGGUCUUCGGAUUGUAAACCUCUGUCCUAUGGGACGAUAAUGACGGUACCAUAGGAGGAAGCUCCGGCUAACUACGUGCUAGCAGCCGCGGUAAUCUGAGCGGGCUGGCAAGGC